rnacentral:rRNA from 1 species
UUAAGUUAUUAAGGGCGCACGGUGGAUGCCUUGGCACUAGAAGCCGAUGAAGGACGUUACUAACGACGAUAUGCUUUGGGGAGCUGUAAGUAAGCUUUGAUCCAGAGAUUUCCGAAUGGGGAAACCCAGCAUGAGUUAUGUCAUGUUAUCGAUAUGUGAAUACAUAGCAUAUCAGAAGGCACACCCGGAGAACUGAAACAUCUUAGUACCCGGAGGAAGAGAAAGAAAAUUCGAUUCCCUUAGUAGCGGCGAGCGAAACGGGAAGAGCCCAAACCAACAAGCUUGCUUGUUGGGGUUGUAGGACACUCUAUACGGAGUUACAAAGGACGACAUUAGACGAAUCAUCUGGAAAGAUGAAUCAAAGAAGGUAAUAAUCCUGUAGUCGAAAAUGUUGUCUCUCUUGAGUGGAUCCUGAGUACGACGGAGCACGUGAAAUUCCGUCGGAAUCUGGGAGGACCAUCUCCUAAGGCUAAAUACUCUCUAGUGACCGAUAGUGAACCAGUACCGUGAGGGAAAGGUGAAAAGCACCCCGGAAGGGGAGUGAAAUAGAACCUGAAACCGUGUGCUUACAAGUAGUCAGAGCCCGUUAAUGGGUGAUGGCGUGCCUUUUGUAGAAUGAACCGGCGAGUUACGAUUUGAUGCAAGGUUAAGCAGUAAAUGUGGAGCCGUAGCGAAAGCGAGUCUGAAUAGGGCGUUUAGUAUUUGGUCGUAGACCCGAAACCAGGUGAUCUACCCUUGGUCAGGUUGAAGUUCAGGUAACACUGAAUGGAGGACCGAACCGACUUACGUUGAAAAGUGAGCGGAUGAACUGAGGGUAGCGGAGAAAUUCCAAUCGAACCUGGAGAUAGCUGGUUCUCUCCGAAAUAGCUUUAGGGCUAGCCUCAAGUGAUGAUUAUUGGAGGUAGAGCACUGUUUGGACGAGGGGCCCCUCUCGGGUUACCGAAUUCAGACAAACUCCGAAUGCCAAUUAAUUUAACUUGGGAGUCAGAACAUGGGUGAUAAGGUCCGUGUUCGAAAGGGAAACAGCCCAGACCACCAGCUAAGGUCCCAAAAUAUAUGUUAAGUGGAAAAGGAUGUGGCGUUGCCCAGACAACUAGGAUGUUGGCUUAGAAGCAGCCAUCAUUUAAAGAGUGCGUAAUAGCUCACUAGUCGAGUGACACUGCGCCGAAAAUGUACCGGGGCUAAACAUAUUACCGAAGCUGUGGAUUGUCCUUUGGACAAUGGUAGGAGAGCGUUCUAAGGGCGUUGAAGCAUGAUCGUAAGGACAUGUGGAGCGCUUAGAAGUGAGAAUGCCGGUGUGAGUAGCGAAAGACGGGUGAGAAUCCCGUCCACCGAUUGACUAAGGUUUCCAGAGGAAGGCUCGUCCGCUCUGGGUUAGUCGGGUCCUAAGCUGAGGCCGACAGGCGUAGGCGAUGGAUAACAGGUUGAUAUUCCUGUACCACCUAUAAUCGUUUUAAUCGAUGGGGGGACGCAGUAGGAUAGGCGAAGCGUGCGAUUGGAUUGCACGUCUAAGCAGUAAGGCUGAGUAUUAGGCAAAUCCGGUACUCAUUAAGGCUGAGCUGUGAUGGGGAGAAGACAUUGUGUCUUCGAGUCGUUGAUUUCACACUGCCGAGAAAAGCCUCUAGAUAGAAAAUAGGUGCCCGUACCGCAAACCGACACAGGUAGUCAAGAUGAGAAUUCUAAGGUGAGCGAGCGAACUCUCGUUAAGGAACUCGGCAAAAUGACCCCGUAACUUCGGGAGAAGGGGUGCUCUUUAGGGUUAACGCCCAGAAGAGCCGCAGUGAAUAGGCCCAAGCGACUGUUUAUCAAAAACACAGGUCUCUGCUAAACCGUAAGGUGAUGUAUAGGGGCUGACGCCUGCCCGGUGCUGGAAGGUUAAGAGGAGUGGUUAGCUUCUGCGAAGCUACGAAUCGAAGCCCCAGUAAACGGCGGCCGUAACUAUAACGGUCCUAAGGUAGCGAAAUUCCUUGUCGGGUAAGUUCCGACCCGCACGAAAGGCGUAACGAUUUGGGCACUGUCUCAACGAGAGACUCGGUGAAAUCAUAGUACCUGUGAAGAUGCAGGUUACUCGCGACAGGACGGAAAGACCCCGUGGAGCUUUACUGUAGCCUGAUAUUGAAAUUCGGCACAGCUUGUACAGGAUAGGUAGGAGCCUUUGAAACGUGAGCGCUAGCUUACGUGGAGGCGCUGGUGGGAUACUACCCUAGCUGUGUUGGCUUUCUAACCCGCACCACUUAUCGUGGUGGGAGACAGUGUCAGGCGGGCAGUUUGACUGGGGCGGUCGCCUCCUAAAAGGUAACGGAGGCGCUCAAAGGUUCCCUCAGAAUGGUUGGAAAUCAUUCAUAGAGUGUAAAGGCAUAAGGGAGCUUGACUGCGAGACCUACAAGUCGAGCAGGGUCGAAAGACGGACUUAGUGAUCCGGUGGUUCCGCAUGGAAGGGCCAUCGCUCAACGGAUAAAAGCUACCCCGGGGAUAACAGGCUUAUCUCCCCCAAGAGUUCACAUCGACGGGGAGGUUUGGCACCUCGAUGUCGGCUCAUCGCAUCCUGGGGCUGUAGUCGGUCCCAAGGGUUGGGCUGUUCGCCCAUUAAAGCGGUACGCGAGCUGGGUUCAGAACGUCGUGAGACAGUUCGGUCCCUAUCCGUCGUGGGCGUAGGAAAUUUGAGAGGAGCUGUCCUUAGUACGAGAGGACCGGGAUGGACAUACCUCUGGUGUACCAGUUGUCGUGCCAACGGCAUAGCUGGGUAGCUAUGUGUGGACGGGAUAAGUGCUGAAAGCAUCUAAGCAUGAAGCCCCCCUCAAGAUGAGAUUUCCCAACUUCGGUUAUAAGAUCCCUCAAAGAUGAUGAGGUUAAUAGGUUCGAGGUGGAAGCAUGGUGACAUGUGGAGCUGACGAAUACUAAUCGAUCGAAGACUUAAUCAA